CAGUAGCCGCGGGAAUACGAAGGGGGCUAGCGUUGCUCGGAAUUACUGGGCGUAAAGGGAGCGUAGGCGGACUGUUUAGUCAGAGGUGAAAGCCCAGGGCUCAACCUUGGAAUUGCCUUUGAUACUGGCAGUCUUGAGUACGGAAGAGGUAUGUGGAACUCCGAGUGUAGAGGUGGAAUUCGUAGAUAUUCGGAAGAACACCAGUGGCGAAGGCGACAUACUGGUCCGUUACUGACGCUGAGGCUCGAAAGCGUGGGGAGCAAACAGGAUUAGAUACCCCUGUAGUCCCUGUCUCUUAUAC
rnacentral:rRNA from 1 species